GGGUUGUGAGGUUAAGCGACUAAGCGUACACGGUGGAUGCCCUGGCAGUCAGAGGCGAUGAAGGGCGUGCUAAUCUGCGAUAAGCGCCGGUAAGGUGAUAUGAACCGUUAUAACCGGCGAUACCCGAAUGGGGAAACCCAGUGUGACUCGUCACACUAUCAUUAACUGAAUCCAUAGGUUAAUGAGGCGAACCGGGGGAACUGAAACAUCUAAGUACCCCGAGGAAAAGAAAUCAACCGAGAUUCCCCCAGUAGCGGCGAGCGAACGGGGAGGAGCCCAGAGCCUGAAUCAGCAUGUGUGUUAGUGGAAGCGUCUGGAAAGGCGCGCGAUACAGGGUGACAGCCCCGUACACAAAAGCGCAUGUGCUGUGAGCUCGAUGAGUAGGGCGGGACACGUGGUAUCCUGUCUGAAUAUGGGGGGACCAUCCUCCAAGGCUAAAUACUCCUGACUGACCGAUAGUGAACCAGUACCGUGAGGGAAAGGCGAAAAGAACCCCGGCGAGGGGAGUGAAAAAGAACCUGAAACCGUGUACGUACAAGCAGUGGGAGCACAGGUUUACCUGUGUGACUGCGUACCUUUUGUAUAAUGGGUCAGCGACUUAUAUUCUGUAGCAAGGUUAACCGAAUAGGGGAGCCGGAGGGAAACCGAGUCUUAAUUGGGCGUUAAGUUG
rnacentral:rRNA from 2 species